rnacentral:rRNA from 1 species
AGGCAGCAGGCACGCAAAUUACCCACUCCCGGCACGGGGAGGUAGUGACAAAAAAUAACGAUACGGGACUCAUUUGAGGCCCCGUAAUCGGAAUGAGUACACUUUAAAUCCUUUAACAAGGAUCCAUUGGAGGGCAAGUUCGGUGCCAGCAGCCGCGGUAAUUCCGACUCCAAUAGCGUAUAUUAAAGUUGUUGCGGUUAAAAAGCUCGUAGUUGGUUCUGCGUGCCACGCUGUCGGUUCACCGCCUGCCGGUGCUACUGGCAUGCCGUGGCAUGUCCUGUCGGUGGGUGUCUGGGGCCCCGUGCGGGCGGCAGGAGGCCGGGUUCGCUCGCGCUCCUCUCUGCACGUCGGCGGGUCAACCCCGGCUCCCUACUAUCCUACCUAGGUGCUCUUCACCGAGUGUCGAGGUAGGCCGACACGUUUACUUUGAACAAAUCAGAGUGCUCAAAGCAGGCUGAAUAAUUCUGCCUGAAUGAUGGCGCAUGGAAUAAUAAAACAGGACCUUGGUUCUAUUUUGUUGGUUCUUAAGAUCACAAGGUAAUGAUCAAUACGGACAGGCGGGGGCAUUCGUAUUGCGGGGUUAGAGGUGAAAUUCUUGGAUCCUCGCAAGACGACCGAGAGCGAAAGCAUUUGCCAAGUAUGUCUCGAUUGAUCAAGAACGAAAGUUAGAGGUUCGAAGGCGAUCAGAUACCGCCCUAGUUCUAACCAUAAACGAUGCCAGCCAGCGAUCCGCCGAUGUUCCUCCGAUGACUCGGCGGGGAGCUUUUCCCCGGGAAACCAAAGCUUUUGGGUUCCGGGGGAAGUAUGGUUGCAAAGCUGAAACUUAAAGGAAUUGACGGAAGGGCACCACCAGGAGUGGAGCCUGCGGCUUAAUUUGACUCAACACGGGAAACCUCACCAGGUCAGGACAUUGUCAGGAUUGACAGAUUGAUAGCUCUUUCUUGAUUCAGUGGGUAGUGGUGCAUGGCCGUUCUUAGUUGGUGGAUCGAUUUGUCUGGUUAAUUCCGAUAACGAACGAGACUCUAGCCUAUUAACUAGACGAUUCAGGAGCCUYUGUCUCCUGUSGAAUMUCUCUCUUYYUAARGGGACCAGGCGGCUUAUAUUSUYGCACGAGAUUGASMAAUAACAGGUCUGUGAUGCCCYUAGAUGUCCUGGGCCGCACGCGCGCUACAAUGAAAGAAUCAGCGUGUGUCUCCCUGCCCGAGAGGGCCGGGUAAUCCGCUGAACCUCUUUCGUGCUUGGGAUUGUAGCUUGCAAUUGUUCUUCAUGAACGAGGAAUUCCCAGUAAGCGCGAGUCAUAAGCUCGCGUUGAUUACGUCCCUGCCCUUUGUACACACCGCCCGUCGCUACUACCGAUUGAAUGAUUUAGUGAGGUCUUCGGACUGGCGGGAAAUCCCUACCGUUUCGGCGGUAUCGACGAACGCUGGGAAGAUGACCAAACUUGAUCA